UCUCCGUAGGUGAACCAGCGGAAGGAUCAUUAUUGUAUAAUCGAGGUGCGAGGCCUGUGGCUGACCCGAAAGGUCGUGCACGCCCGAGUGCCCUCACACACAUCCACCUCACCCCUAUGUGCACCACCGCGUGGGUCCCCCUUUGGCUUGUUCGGAGGGGGGCUUACGUUUUCACACAAUCUUUGAAUGCAGUGUAGAAUGUAUUUUUUGUUUUUGCGACCACGCAACCAAUACACCUUUCAACAACGUACCUCUUGGUUCUGGCAUCUAUGAAGAACG
rnacentral:misc_RNA from 1 species